GUUGUCGUUAGUUGAUAUGGUUCAUAAUGCGUCCCGUUUCUCGUUAUCUUACAUAGAUGAGACCGCUGGUGCUUACUUUUGAAUGGUUUAACACUUUGAUACCAUUUAAAUAUUGCUAUUCGUUGUGAGCCAAAAAUUUGUGGUGCUGAAGACCGUACUGUGAUAUGAUGGUUUACUUUUACAAAAUGUGACAUGGAUGGAGAGUUGUCUCAUUGGCACUCAUACAACAUCUUUUGAUAUAGCUAUAUAUAGGUUUCAUGUAUACGUAAAUUUUGUUCAAAAAGAAUAGAUCGUC
rnacentral:lncRNA from 1 species